rnacentral:tRNA from 1 species
AUAGUAUCAGGAUGGCGCAAAAUUCGCUCUCUCACGGCGAAAACAGGGGUUCGAUUCCCCUUGGGAGCACCA